rnacentral:rRNA from 1 species
UGCAGUCGAACGUGAAAGCACUUCGGUGUGAGUAGAGUGGCGGACGGGUGAGUAACGCGUGGGAAUCUACCCAGUAGUGGGGGACAACUACCGGAAACGGUAGCUAAUACCGCAUACGCCCUAUGGGGGAAAGGCUUCGGCCGCUAUUGGAUGAGCCCGCGUCAGAUUAGCUAGUUGGUAGGGUAAAGGCCUACCAAGGCAACGAUCUGUAGCUGGUCUGAGAGGACGAACAGCCACACUGGGACUGAGACACGGCCCAGACUCCUACGGGAGGCAGCAGUGGGGAAUAUUGGACAAUGGGCGAAAGCCUGAUCCAGCAAUGCCGCGUGUGUGAAGAAGGCCUGCGGGUUGUAAAGCACUUUCAGUUGGGAAGAUGAUGACGUUACCAACAGAAGAAGCACCGGCUAAAUCCGUGCCAGCAGCCGCGGUAAUACGGAUGGUGCGAGCGUUAAUCGGAAUUACUGGGCGUAAAGCGCGCGUAGGCGGCUAAGUCAGUCA